rnacentral:lncRNA from 1 species
AGCUGCCAUUUCCUGAGUGCCCACGAAAUGCUGGGAGCAAGCUCAGCCCUUUCCGUGGUAAUAACGAAUAUUCAUUAAGCUUUACUCUGUUCCAUGCUCUUCUGUUCUAAGCACUUUACAUGUAUUAUCUCUUUCAAUGUUACAUCAACCCAAGAGGUAGGUACUAUUAUAAUCCACUUUUUACAGAUUAGAAAACCGAGACACAAGAAGCAUCACACAGCAGGUACGCAGAGAACUGAACCUGACUCCUGAGUCCCAGCUGUGCUGGGCUAUGCUGCUCCUACUGUAUUUGCAUAUUAUUUCACUGGGCAUUAUUGGGCAUCAAUAGGCAUUAUUACCCCCAUGUUAUAAAUGAGGAACAGAGAGUUGAACUCUUUUGCUAAAAUUAUACAGAAAACGGCAGUGAGGAUUUAAAUCUGAGCUUUUUGUCUCCAAGAUUUUCCAGUACAUUCUCAUGAUGCUUGUAAAAUAUCUCAGUUCCUGAUGGCCACCAUGUGGCCUUUGGACAGUCCACGUGACUUGGCCCUGUGAUGUAUGACUCAUUUGGUCCCUUCCUCUGGUGCUCAGACCAUGAGAUGUGUGGAUUCCUUGAGUUUCUCGGGAUUAAGGAUGAAAAAGUUCUCUUUCGUUAAAAGAAUUCAUUAUCUUUCGAUGAUCAGUUAUAUAGUUGGAUUCAGUUCGGUUUUCACUAAGAGAUUUCAAUGUACACAGUCUUGUGUUGCAGGUAUGUUUUGGGGUCAGGGAGCGAGAAUGGAAUUUGUUUAAGAUAUAGCUACCUCCUUCAUAGAACUUAUGAUCUGAUUGAGAAAAUGAAACUGACAUUGAGACACAGGUGUGCAUUGAGCUGUGUGUUACUGGUGGAAUGCUAUAGGAGUUCACAAAAGCGAUGCUGGAGCUCCUGGACAGUCCUCUUGGGGAUCAAGGAUCUUAAAGGACACGUGGAAUCCGACGUGAGCAGGAAGAUUCACCAGGCAUGGAUAAAAAGAUUGAAGAGGAGGCCACUGCAGAGAUGCCCUUGCAAAAGACACUUCUUCUUUGGAUGA